GACGAACGCUGGCGGCGUGCUUAACACAUGCAAGUCGAACGGAAAGGCCUGCUUUCCCUGGUGUGUUCGGGUUACUCGCGUGGGGAACGGGCGAGAAACACGUGCGCUUUCUUCCCCCAAAUCUUGAAUAAGCUGGGGAAACUGGCUCAAAUUACCGCUUGCACCGCGGGGUGGGGCGGGAAGUGGAAACGGUUUUUCUAGGGGUUGGGGCUGAGCUGGCGGCCUAUCAGCUUGUGGGUGGGGGAGUGGCCUACGAAGGCGGCGACGGGGAGGCGGACUGAGAGGGUGGACGGGGACAUUGGGACGGAGAUACGGCCCAGACGCCGACGGGAGGCAGCAGUGGGGAAUAUGGCACAAUGGGCGGAAGCCUGAUGCAGCGACGCCGCGUGGGGGAUGACGGCCUUCGGGUUGUAAACUCCUGUCGACCGCGAGGAAGCCACCUGGUUGGAAGGGUGGUGACGGUAGUGGUAGAAGAAGCACCGGCUAACUACGUG
rnacentral:rRNA from 1 species